GACAGCAUGGCUCAGUGGUUUGAGUAUUGAGUUAUGACUCUAGAGACCAGGAUUCGAUUCCCAGCUUGGUCA